rnacentral:tRNA from 1 species
GGAAAGGUGGCUGAGUGGUCUAAAGCGCACGCUUGGAAAGCGUGUGUCGGGUUACACUGACCGCGGGUUCGAAUCCCGCCCUUUCCGCCA